rnacentral:rRNA from 1 species
UCUCAGUUCAGAUUGCAGGCUGCAACCCGCCUGCAUGAAGUCGGAAUUGCUAGUAAUCGCGGAUCAGCAUGCCGCGGUGAAUACGUUCCCGGGCCUUGUACACACCGCCCGUCACACCAUGGGAGCCGGUAAUACCCGAAGUCAGUAGUCCAACCUCGUGAGGACGCUGCCGAAGGUAGGAUUGGCGACUGGGGUCGAAGUCGUAACAAGGUAGC